rnacentral:rRNA from 1 species
CGAACGCUGGCGGCAUGCCUAAUACAUGCAAGUCGAACGAGCUUCCGUUGAAUGACGUGCUUGCACUGAUUUCAACAAUGAAGCGAGUGGCGAACUGGUGAGUAACACGUGGGUAACUUGCCCAGAAGCAGGGGAUAACACUUGGAAACAGGUGCUAAUACCGUAUAACAACAGAAACCGCAUGGUUUCUGUUUGAAAGGUGGUUUCGGCUAUCACUUCUGGAUGGACCCGCGGCGUAUUAGUUAGUUGGUGAGGUAAAGGCCCACCAAGACAAUGAUACGUAGCCGACCUGAGAGGGUAAUCGGCCACAUUGGGACUGAGACACGGCCCAAACUCCUACGGGAGGCAGCAGUAGGGAAUCUUCCACAAUGGACGAAAGUCUGAUGGAGCAAUGCCGCGUGAGUGAAGAAGGGUUUCGGCUCGUAAAACUCUGUUGUUAAAGAAGAACACUUCUGAGAGUAACUGUUCAGAAGUUGACGGUAUUUAACCAGAAAGCCACGGCUAACUACGUG